AAACUUUCUGGCAGGGGAGACACCAUAAUUGAGGGGGUGAUUUUCCCAGGGUGAGGCUCAACCAUGACUUUUGAGAUAUACUGACCCAUGAUGCUAUUUCCCCAAACAUAGAAAAAUGACUGUAGAAUUUGUGAUAAUAGGGGACUGUGUUUAUACUCUCCCCUA